rnacentral:rRNA from 1 species
AUUGAACGCUGGCGGCAGGCCUAACACAUGCAAGUCGAGCGAGCGGCGGACGGGUGAGUAAUGUAUGGGGAACUGCCUGCUGGAGGGGGAUAACUACUGUAAACGGUAGCUAAUACCGCAUACCAUCAGAUGAACCCAUAUGGGAUUAGCUUGUAGGUGGGGUAACGGCUCACCUAGGCGACGAUCCCUAGCUGGUCUGAGAGGAUGAUCAGCCACACUGGGACUGAGACACGGUCCAGACUCCUACGGGAGGCAGCAGUGGGGAAUAUUGCACAAUGGGCGCAAGCCUGAUGCAGCCAUGCCGCGUGUAUGAAGAAGGCCUUCGGGUUGUAAAGUACUUUCAGUCGGGAGGCGUUACCCGCAGAAGAAGCACCGGCUAACUCCGUGCCAGCAGCCGCGGUAAUAC